rnacentral:rRNA from 1 species
AAACGCUGGCGGCGUGUCUUAAGCAUGCAAGUCGAGCGGCAGGCGCAGCAAUGCGCUGAGAGCGGCGGACUGGUGAGUAACGCGUGGGUAAUCUACCUUUGGCAUGGGGAUAGCCACUAGAAAUAGUGGGUAAUACCGAAUACGUUCCCUGGGGGGAGGUUUCAGGGAAGAAAGGGUGCUACGGCACCGGCCGGAGAUGAGCUCGCGUCCCAUUAGCUAGUUGGUGAGGUAACGGCCCACCAAGGCGAUGAUGGGUAGCCGGCCUGAGAGGGUGUACGGCCACACUGGGACUGAGAUACGGCCCAGACUCCUACGGGAGGCAGCAGCUAAGAAUAUUCCGCAAUGGACGAAAGUCUGACGGAGCGACGCCGCGUGGAUGAUGAAGGCCGAAAGGUUGUAAAGUCCUUUUGCUGGGGAAGAAUAAGUGUGGGAGGGAAUGCCCGCAUGAUGACAUGAACCGGCGAAUAAGCCCCGGCCAACUACGUGCCAGCAGCCGCGGUAACACGUAGGGGGCGAGCGUUGUUCGGAAUUACUGGGCGUAAAGGGCAUGUAGGCGGUCUGGUAAGCCUGGCGUGAAAGGCCACAGCUCAACUGUGGGAUUGCGUUGGGAACUGCUGGGCUUGAGUUAUGGAGAGGGAGCUAG